rnacentral:piRNA from 1 species
UGACAAUUUGCAAUGUGCACCCCUGCCU